rnacentral:lncRNA from 1 species
GGGUAAACAAAAAAUUGAUUCUGCAAGUUGGAAAGUCAGCCAAGUUCUGGACUUAGCCUUUAUUUACAAGACAAUAAGCAAAGAACCUCAACCUAAUCCUGAGAAAAAAAAUCACAUCAACCCAAAUGGAGGAACCAUCUACCUGCCAAGACCAUAAAAACAAGGAUAGACUGAGGAAAUGUUACAUAUUGGAGGAGACCAAGUGGACAUGACAACUAAAUGCAAUGUAGGACCUCGAAUUAGAUUUGGGAACAGAAAAACAAACACUACUGGAAAAACUGGUGAACUUCAAAUAAGGUAACUUUGUUAAUAAUAUUGUAUCAAUAUUAAUAUCCUUGUGUUGAUGAUUACAAGAUGUUAACAUCAGAGGAAACUGAUGAGGGGCCACGUGGGAACUAUACAUGUAUUAUUUUUA